ACAGUUAACAGAAGAAUCACGACUUCCGGUUUGGACUGUACCGAUUAGAUUCUUUUAGAAAUGCCUGUUGGAAACAUAGGGUAUGGCCAUAGUGGUCCAUCCUGCUUUGACAAGAUGAAGAUAGGAUUCCUGAUGGGCUUCUCUGUUGGGAUGGCAUCUGGUAUUUUAUUUGGUGGAUUUUCAGCUUUAAGAUAUGGUUUACGAGGGCGAGAGUUGGUACAGACAGUCGGAAAGACAAUGUUACAAGGUGGUGGGACGUUUGGGACAUUUAUGACAGUUGGCACGGCGAUACGUUGCUAGCCAAUCAUAC